rnacentral:rRNA from 1 species
UACGGGGGGGGCAAGCGUUGUUCGGAAUUACUGGGCGUAAAGGGCUCGUAGGCGGCCCACUAAGUCAGACGUGAAAUCCCCCGGCUUAACCUGGGAACUGCGUCUGAUACUGGGAGGCUUGAGUAUGGGAGAGGGAUGUAGAAUUCCAGGUGUAGCGGUGAAAUGCGUAGAUAUCAAGAGGAACACCUGAGGUGAAGACGGGUUGCUGGGCUGAUACUGACGCUGAGGCGCGAAAGCUAGGGUAGCAAACGGG